AUACGAAGGGUGCAAGCGUUACUCGGAAUUACUGGGCGUAAAGCGUGCGUAGGUGGUUGUUUAAGUCUGUCGUGAAAGCCCUGGGCUCAACCUGGGAAUGGCGAUGGAAACUGGGCGACUAGAGUGUGGCAGAGGGUAGUGGAAUUCCUGGUGUAGCAGUGAAAUGCGUAGAGAUCAGGAGGAACAUCCGUGGCGAAGGCGACUGCCUGGGCCAACACUGACACUGAGGCACGAAAGCGUGGGGAGCAAACAGGAUUAGAUACCCUGGUAGUCCACGCCCUAAACGAUGCGAACUGGAUGCUGGGUGCAAUUUGGCACGCAGUAUCGAAGCUAACGCGUUAAGUUCUCCGCCUGGGGAGUACGGUCGCAAGACUGAAACUCAAAGGAAUUGACGGGG
rnacentral:rRNA from 1 species